UCUCUGCCCUUCUUUGCUGGGAAGUUCGUCCGGGAGUCUAACCCGGGUGUCCUCCCGCUGCUCUGCAUGGGCGGGGCCAGGGUAGGCGUGAGGUCGCUGAGCAGAGCGCGCCGCCCCCCGACCCACCUGCUCCCCUGAGCCAGGCGACUCUGAUGGACCCGUACCCCAGCCGCGCUCAUCUCCCGCCCCCUGUGACUCCGGCUGCUCCGACUUGGGGGUGAGUCUGGGGUCUGUAGCUGCUCCGGCCUCCCACGCGUUUUGCUCUGAGUCUCCCGAACCUACCUGGGGGCCUCUGGCUGCAGAACCUCCGAGCAACCGCCGCAACGACGGAAGCCUUUCAGAUGACCUACCUGGAACAGCCGGGUGGGGGCCAGAGGCCCAGGCCCGGCCGAGGGGCCCUCCGCGCAGCCUCGGCGCUGGGAAGAUGCAGCUCGGCUUGCGGAACGCUGCUCUGGCACCGGCUCCGUGGGGGCAGGGGGCUGGCUGUGCUGGCAGGAGGCUGCGAAGGAACGCUGCCAGGCCGAGCGACAGCAGGGCGGGACUACGGACUACCACCGUGGUCUCUCCUUCGGACGCCCCGCACCCCUACCCACUGUUCAGCCUAGUCACUCUCCCAACACUGCUCCAGCCGGGCCAUUCCACUCCAGCCAUAGCAGUCUCCUUGGGUGUGCGCCUUCCUCAUGGUGUGCUGUAGCUCUUUCUCUGGAGCCAAGCAGGUGUCAUCAAAUAGUCGAAGGUCUGUCCCCUCAGAAUGCAAGGAUCUCUCACUGGACAUGGGCUGACUACCCCUGAGCAAGGAAGCUGAGUAGGUGAAGAAAGGUAGGGACAGUGAGGAGAGCCCCUUCCUUCACAUGCGCAGGGCAUGCCCCUACCUGGGUUCCCGAAUCUGAGGCUCUAGGCUGAAGCUGUGAACCUGUCAAUUACCGAUGAUGUCUCCUACACUUCCCAAAACCCAAGUUUCUCGUCUGACCCAGUUGAUUGCUGCACUGACCUGGGAGGUGGGAAGGGCAGGGCUGUCUACCUACUGGGUGGACAAGGAGAGUCCCGCAGAGAGAGAAAACAUGUAGACGCUGUGCUGGGAGGUUGGAAGAAGCUGGUACUGGCCUUGGCUAAGGUAAAGGAGUGACACCCCUACCCCACCCCCUGCUGUCUCAUUUGGGUUCUCUGAACUCCGACUGAGGGCAAGAGGGCACACUGGGCUUGUCACUGGCAACAGCUGCAAAAGCCAGAAGCCCCGUUGUGUUCAUGGCUGCAGAACUGAGUGGUCUGGACAUGGGGUACAGCCAACUGGAGGGACAAGAUGGGAGCAGAGGAAGGAUUCUAGGCCACAACCUCAAGUUCUGUUGGUUGGUUUAGGGGCCAGAGCACUCAUUACCAUGAUAGAGGUGGGUGCUUUAGACCCCUAAAGCUGAGUGACUCCAGGCCAAACUUCACUUUGGAGAACAAGGAGACAACCCCAGACUGCUUGGGGUUCCUGCACUUGGCUGGGGAAACUACGCUCACCAGGUGCCUCAGCCUCAGGAGUUUGGUCUUACUGCUUGUAUGAGGUUUGGUAUUGAAGAAGACAACACCGGGCUGCUGUAAACCACAGGGAGGAAGCAGCUAUGGCAAGAGGCCCAGGCCUCAGAAUGCAGCCUGUGCUGUGGUGUACUGAUUCCUGAAUGCAGAGCUCUAACUCCUCCCUCGAGGUGCCCGAGAGACUACAGCAACCAGUAAUCUGUCUCAGCUAGACAUUCUGACCUGUCUUUUUAACAAGUUAUGGGUAUUUUGCCUGUGCCACCACGCCCGGCUUUUAAUUAAUUAAUUAAUUAAUAUUUUUUUUUUUUUUUUUUUUUUUUUGGUUUUUCGAGACAGGGUUUCUCUGUAUAGCCCUGGCUGUCCUGCCACCACACCACAAGAGUAAAGAGUCUUACUAUGCAGUUCUGUCUGGCCUUGAACUCAAGAGAUCCACCCUCUUCUGCUGGGGUUAAAGAUGUGCACUACCCUACCACACCUGGCAUUUUCUUU
rnacentral:lncRNA from 1 species